CUUUGUUUCUCGUGCCUUCUUCCUAAUAUGACGCAAGGUCCUUUCAAUCUCGGGAUCACACUCGAUUGGUUCUCCAAGUCGUAAGGAUCUGGGCAUACAAGGGUGCCUGCACUAAAAAAAA